UACAGAGGUCUCAAGCGUUGUUCGGAUUCAUUGGGCGUAAAGGGCGCGUAGGCUGCGGGGCAAGUCGGGUGUGAAAUCUCAGAGCUCAACUCUGAAACUGCACUCGAUACUGCUUUGCUCGAGGACUGGAGAGGAGAUUGGAAUUCACGGUGUAGCAGUGAAAUGCGUAGAUAUCUGGAGGAAUACCGGGUGGCGAAGGCGGCAUCCUGGACCGGCAUUGACGCUGAAGCGCGAAAGCUAAGGGGAGCAAA
rnacentral:rRNA from 1 species